rnacentral:rRNA from 1 species
AUUGAACGCUGGCGGCAGGCCUAACACAUGCAAGUCGAACGGUAACAGGGAUCAGCUUGCUGAUUCGCUGACGAGUGGCGGACGGGUGAGUAAUGUCUGGGAAACUGCCUGAUGGAGGGGGAUAACUACUGGAAACGGUAGCUAAUACCGCAUAACGUCGCAAGACCAAAGAGGGGGACCUUCGGGCCUCUUGCCAUCGGAUGUGCCCAGAUGGGAUUAGCUAGUAGGUGGGGUAACGGCUCACCUAGGCGACGAUCCCUAGCUGGUCUGAGAGGAUGACCAGCCACACUGGAAGUGAGACACGGUCCAGACUCCUACGGGAGGCAGCAGUGGGGAAUAUUGCACAAUGGGCGCAAGCCUGAUGCAGCCAUGCCGCGUGUAUGAAGAAGGCCUUCGGGUUGUAAAGUACUUUCAGCGGGGAGGAAGGGAGUAAAGUUAAUACCUUUGCUCAUUGACGUUACCCGCAGAAGAAGCACCGGCUAACUCCGUG